rnacentral:rRNA from 1 species
GACGGAGGGUGCUAGCGUUGUUCGGAACCACUGGGCGUAAAGGGCGCGUAGGCGGCCUCAGGUGUCGGAUGUGAAAGCCCGGGGCUCAACCCCGGAGGUGCAUCCGAAACUCUGGGGCUGGAGGUCGGAAGAGGAGGGUGGAAUACCCAGUGUAGAGGUGAAAUUCGUAGAUAUUGGGUGGAACACCGGUGGCGAAAGCGGCUCUCUGGUCCGGACCUGACGCUGAGGCGCGAAAGCGUGGGGAGCAAACAGG